AUGCGGCGGGAAGAAGUGGCAUUUAGAAGUGUUGCUGACUUUACAUUUAGGUUUCGGCAUAACAAAGCUUGCAGUGUCUUUUCGCACUUAGGCACACAGCGUGCCGUUGGUAAUGAUUCUACUACGGUGCUGCAAAUUCGCAAGCUGAUCCUAAGUAAUCAUUAUUGUUCAUUGGAUUCCUCCGGAAUUACUUCGUUAGGAUUGAAGAAUUGCUGCAAUUCUUCCUAA
rnacentral:rRNA from 1 species